rnacentral:lncRNA from 1 species
CUCUGGAAUGGUUUUUAUACAAAGAGCUUCUAUACCCCUACUACCCCACCAAUUCCAGCAGCAGGAGACCAGCAAACAGGUUUUCUCACUCCUUGAUCCUGGAAAAAAACCUCCAGUUAACUGCAAGGUUCCAGUCAAUCAAAAACUUAUUAUGCUGAACCACUUGCCAGGAGUCUGUACAAGUAUGGAUCAGCCUAGUUGACCUCUGAGGUCCUUUCCAGUCCCGAGAGUCUUGGAUUCUCUGAAAUGAAUUGGUGGGAUGGACUGAAAAGAGGCAUUUUGUAACAAGAACAAGAGAAGGAAGAAUCCAUGGCUGGACUUGUUACAUUUUGUGUAACCUUAGGGCGGUCACGUCAUCUCUCUUUGGCUUAGGUCUGCUUUGAGUCUCUGCAGUGUAUUGAUGUCCUACAGUAGUAAUUUUUAAUGUUGGAGUCUAUAAACUUAAAAGAAAUAUUUUGACAACUA